GUUAGGAAUAUUGGACAAUGGGCGCAAGCCUGAUCCAGCCAUGCCGCGUGAGUGAUGAAGGCCUUCGGGUUGUAAAGCUCUUUAGUCCACGAAUAUAAUGACUGUAGCGGAAGAAUAAGCCCCGGCUAACUUCGUGCCAGCAGCCGCGGUAAUACGAAGGGGGCGAGCGUUAUUCGGAAUCACUGGGCGUAAAGCGUGCGUAGGCUGUUUUGUAAGUCAGAAGUGAAAGCCCAGGGCUUAACCCUGGAAUUGCUUUUGAAACUACAAGACUCGAAUUCGGGAGAGGAUAGCGGAAUUGUCAGUGUAGCAGUGAAAUGCGUAGAUAUUGACAGGAACACCAGUGGCGCAAGCGGCUAUCUGGACCGAUAUUGACGCUGAGGCACGAAAGCGUGGGGAGCAAACAGGAUUAGAAACCCGUGUAGUCC
rnacentral:rRNA from 1 species